rnacentral:lncRNA from 1 species
CUCGGGCCGGCCCGGCCCACGGGGGCGGAGGGAGCUGCGGCGCUCUAGCCGAGGAGCCGGCGCCGGGGGCGGACGCGGAGCAGGCGUGGCGGAGCGGGGGGUCGGGCUACCUGCUGACGGGGAGCUGCCCUCGCUCCUCGCCCUCCCUGCGACCCCCACGCCGACCUCCAGCCGUUCCCUUGUGGUUCUGUAACGACGGGUUUUAGGAGCGUUUGGUGCUGUGACCCUGCAGAUGCUUUUACCGUCUUCAUUUCUUGGUCAAUGGCCCAGUCUUACUAGAGUGCGCUCUGCCGGUACGCCGCUUCAAAUCCUUUCCAGAAACUGAGAGGUAUGUAAACUGCUGGAGAUUUUCACAGUGAUGAAAAAGAUGCAGCUUGCCAUGCUGAAGAAGGAUGCAAGAAUAGACAGACUUCACAAAAUCCAUCAAGAACAUGACAAGUUGAGAGAGAAGUGAGUAAGGAAGAAGAGGUCCUGUUAUAGAUGACGUAUUAUCACUCUGAAGACUUGCCUAUUGGAAACAAGCUCUGGUGGUGAUUAAGAGACUAAGCCCCUUAUUGGAACUGUGAUGCACUGUCUCAGACUUGCUGUGAAUAAAAACAGAGCAAUGGUUCUUUGGGGGAUGCCGUUAGAACAAAAUACCUGAGAGACACUGAUAAGGAUGGAACCAACAGAGACGCUGUCAUUGAACUGUUUUCAACUUCCUCAGGAGAUGAUUUCUUCAAAACAACUUUAAAGAGAGCAUGCUUCACUAGAGAAUAAUGUGAUAUGCCAGCACAAAAUGAUUUAUGAAGUUCUCAUCACAGUGGCAUCGUCAGAGAUUCCAGGGGGAUGGCACAGAGGUGUUGUGGAGGAGGUGACCGCCAUCGAUCAGAUCUGAACGUGCAGGCAUCAGCUGCCGUGUCCACCACCACACCUGGCUUUGGGCUGCUGCUGCCUAUCAACCCUCCAUAUGGCAUCUGGUACAGGCCAGAUGGCCGAAGCUGCAUCUACUGAUGGUGUUGCCUGAUGCCAAUCCAGAGGUCUCAACUGGUAGUUGAUUCUUUACAAGAAACGUGAGGCUGCUCCCUGGAUCCCAUCUGCCUGGCACACCUUAUACCUGUCUCUCCUCUAUUCUGUGCCAUGAGAGCAAAAGCAACUUUAUG